rnacentral:rRNA from 1 species
UACGUAGGGGGCAAGCGUUGUCCGGAUUUAUUGGGCGUAAAGAGCGUGUAGGCGGUCCGGUAAGUCAGCUGUGAAAGUCAAGGGCUCAACCCUUGAAUGCCGGUUGAUACUGUCGGGCUAGAGUCCGGAAGAGGCGAGUGGAAUUCCCGGUGUAGCGGUGAAAUGCGCAGAUAUCGGGAGGAACACCAAUGGCGAAGGCAGCUCGCUGGGACGGUACUGACGCUGAGGCACGAAAGCGUGGGGAUCAAACAGG